UGGUGGAGUGAUUUGUCUGGUUAAUUCCGUUAACGAACGAGACCUCGACCUGCUAAAUAGUCUGGCGAAGCCUCCGGGCUUCGCAGGUGACUUCUUAGAGGGACUAUCGGUGUGUAGCCGAUGGAAGUUCGAGGCAAUAACA
rnacentral:rRNA from 1 species